AAUCUAGCUGCCAGCAUCCUCCUCCAUAUUGUCAACGCCAUGACACUAGCAGCGGCCUGCCUCCUAAAAGUUGCACAAUGGCUUGCCGUUGCAGGCGAGCCACUUCGUGCCCUCUGGCCAAUCCACCUACUCAUGCCCAUUGUUCUUCCAACUGUUGCAGCUACUGUCUACCUGGCAUAUCGCCCUAGAGCCACAUACCUUGUUGACUAUGCUUGCUUCCGGCCUAGCCCCAACUAUCGAUUCCCAAGGGCGGCCUUACUCGAGCAUGCACAUAUGUCGACCUUCCUUGCCGAUUCUACCAUUAACUUCAUAGCACGAGUUCUUGAGCACUCCGGUCUUAGUGAUGAGACUUGUGUUCCACCGGCACUUUCUUACAUUGAGCCAUAUUGUAGUCUGGAUGAAGCCCGCGCCGAGGUAGAACUGGUCGUCUUCUCAGUGGUUGAUGAUCUACUGGCUAAGACGAGGAUUGACCUUGAUACGAUUGACAUUCUGGUCACUAACUGCAGUGUCUUUUCACCGGUUCCAUCGAUUGCCGACAUGAUUGUCAGCAGGUAUAAGCUGCGAGGUGACCUUCGCGUCAUCAACCUCUCGGGGAUGGGUUGCAGUGCAACAGUAACUGCAGUUGGGCUUGCAAGGAACAUCUUGGAGGUCAUGCCUUUUGGAUCGCAAGCGCUAGUGGUGUCAACGGAGACCAUCGGACCCAACCACUAUGCGGGUAACAACCGCUCCAUGCAGUUGGUUAAUAUCUUGUUCCGCAUGGGCGGUGCAGCCGUCCUGUUAUCGAGUUCUAGGUCCAAGGCUAGGUUCCGCCUCACACAUGUUGUGCGGACGAUCACUGCUAGCGAUGACAAUGCCUACCGGUGCGUCUACCAAGAGGAAGAUGACGAGGGAAUCAAGGGCGCCAAUCUGUCAAAGAACCUCAUGGCUAUUGCUGGAGACGCUCUCAAGGCCAACAUCACGGCCAUGGGGCCACUUGUCUUGCCUACAUCAGAGCUGAUCAAGUUUCUUCUUGUCUCCUUGGCGAGGAAGGUGUUCCUUGGGAGGAGGAUAAGGCCUUACAUUCCCAAUUUCCGUACAGCGUUCAAACACUUCUGCAUCCACGUUGGUGGACCAGCGGUGAUCAGCUCGGUACAACGUGGCCUUAAUCUAUCCGAUGAGCAUGUCGAGCCUUCACGAAUGACACUGCAUCAAUUCGGAAAUCAGUCAAGUGCAUCUGUGUGGUACGAGUUGGGAUACAUAGAAGCCAAGGGUCGAAUGCUAAAAGGUAAUAGGGUCUGGAUGAUUGGUUUCGGAGCUGGAUAUGAAUGCAACUCCGCAGUGUGGGUGUGCAUCCGUACAUGUACAUCUCACGGUGACCAUGGGCCAUGGGCUAGUUGCAUCCAUCGAUACCCACUAGAUGUGCAGAAAUAA
rnacentral:rRNA from 1 species